rnacentral:tRNA from 1 species
GCCGAGGUGGCAGAGUGGACGAAAGCGCCGGUCUUGAGAAUCGGUGGUGCUGACGCACCUCGGGAGUUCGAAUCUCCCCCUCGGCG